UCCGAGUUGUCCCCGGCAGUCCUCUUAGAGUCCCCGGCAUUACCCGCUGGCAACUAAGAGCAGGGGUUGCGCUCGUUGCGGCACUUAAGCCAACACCUCACGGCACGAGCUGACGACAGCCAUGCAGCACCUGUGCGGGCCCCCGAGGGGGCACCGUGUUUCCACGGCGUCACCCCGCAUGUCAAGCCCAGGUAAGGUUCUUCGCGUAGCAUCGAAUUAAAGAACAUGCUCCGCUGCUUGUGCGGGCCCCCGUCAAUUCUUUUGAGUUUUAGCCUUGCGGCCGUACUCCCCAGGCGGGGCGCUUAAUGCGUUAGCUGCGGCACGGAACCCGUGGAAUGGACCCCACACCUAGCGCCCAACGUUUACGGUGUGGACUAC
rnacentral:misc_RNA from 1 species